UACGUAGGGUGCGAGCGUUGUCCGGAAUUAUUGGGCGUAAAGAGCUUGUAGGCGGUUUGUCGCGUCUGCUGUGAAAUCUCAAGGCUCAACCCCGAACUUGCAGUGGGUACGGGCAGACUAGAGUGUGGUAGGGGAGACUGGAAUUCCUGGUGUAGCGGUGAAAUGCGCAGAUAUCAGGAGGAACACCGAUGGCGAAGGCAGGUCUCUGGGCCACUACUGACGCUGAGACGCGAAAGCGUGGGGAGCGAACAGG
rnacentral:rRNA from 1 species